ACGUGAAACCGUUCAGGGGUAAACCUGAGAAACCCAAAAGAUCGAAUGGGGAGAUUCAUCGACAACGGUGCUGGCUCCCGUUGGUGCGCGAUGCUCCGGAUGGGCCCUUGCGGGUUCAUUAGCGAGGGCACGCCACCUUCGGCUUGAACGUUCCGGUGCCGUAGUCGUGCACUUCUCCCCUAGUAGAACGUCGCGACCCGUUGUGUGUCGGUCUACGGCCCGAGCGGGCGCCUGUCUCGUCGCGUUUCGCGUACGCGUCAGACCCUCGGACGCCUGGCCGGCUGCACGACGGUACUCCCACGGUAUCGGGCCGCAACCAAUCCAUUCUCGAAUGUGUGUGCGUCUAGCCCGCCUCAAGCUCGGUUAGUUCUUACCCGGUGGUACGGACCUGGUGCCGUCCCCGGGCCUGACCAGCUGUUAGCAGGCGGUGCCCUCGGACUGGCCAAGCUUCGAAUUACCGGUCGGCGACGCUACUGCUUUGGGUACUCUCAGGACCCGUCUUGAAACACGGACCAAGGAGUCUAACAUGUGCGCGAGUCAUUGGGAUGCAUAAACCUAAAGGCGAAAUGAAAGUGAAGGUCGUUGUUUGCAUCGGCCAAGGGAGGAUGGGCCGCGUUACGAGGCGGCCCCGCACUCCCGGGGCGUCUCGUUCUCAUUGCGAGAAGAGGCGCACCCAGAGCGUACACGUUGGG
rnacentral:rRNA from 1 species